CCUACGGGGGGCAGCAGUGGGGGAUAUUGGACAAUGGGGGGAACCCUGAUCCAGCGACGCCGCGUGAGUGAAGAAGUAUUUCGGUAUGUAAAGCUCUGUCAGCAGGGAAGAAAGAAAUGACGGUACCUGACCAAGAAGCCCCGGCUAACUACGUGCCAGCAGCCGCGGUAAUACGUAGGGGGCAAGCGUUAUCCGGAAUUACUGGGUGUAAAGGGAGCGUAGACGGUUAAGUAAGUCUGGAGUGAAAGGCCGGGGCCCAACCCCGGGACUGCUCUGGAAACUAUUGAACUUGAGUGCAGGAGAGG
rnacentral:rRNA from 1 species